rnacentral:rRNA from 1 species
CACGUAGGGCGCGAGCGUUGUCCGGAAUUAUUGGGCGUAAAGAGCUCGUAGGCGGCCUGUUGCGUCCGCUGUGAAAGCCCGGGGCUUAACCCCGGGUCGGCAGUGGAUACGGGCAGGCUAGAGGUAGGUAGGGGAGAAUGGAAUUCCCGGUGUAGCGGUGAAAUGCGCAGAUAUCGGGAGGAACACCGGUGGCGAAGGCGGUUCUCUGGGCCUUACCUGACGCUGAGGCACGAAAGCCAGGGGAGCAAACGGG